CUGAGGCCAUCCUGGAGGUCAUCAUCCCUGCAAUUUUCCGUUUUGUACGGAUAUACAGCCAUGUGUCUCCAGUAUCCAGCAAGUCUCUGACAGAAUCAGAGAGAUCCUCUAGCACAAACCUGAAGGUUCGCAAGAGAGGCAGCAGCAAAUCCUCAAGGUCUUGCACGGCCAAAUCAAGCUCCUCUCGUAAUGGGUCUCAGACAGUGUUGCCAAAUACUCAGGGAGAUGGUGAGUCUAUAUCAUCUGAGCCACUCAGGGACUUUUUUGGGAUCACUGAGGACAGUCUCCUCACUGGUGUCCAGGAUUCCUUCAAAGAGUCGCUGAACAAUGUCCUCUGUAUCCAAAGAGAGGACCAGGUAGACACUCAAAGUCUAUCCCGGGUUAUUGUUGGAGAAGUGUCAAAGAAGGUCAAUUCCAUAAUCUCUGUGGCCAUCCAAACUCCCAUCUCUGGCCGAAUGUCCCCUGUUAUUUUUGCCAGUGGUGGUGUCUCCAGAACCAAGGUUGUUGAGGAGAUGGUGUCUGGCGUUUCCAACAUACUUCAGAUGUAUAUUAAUGGGAAGAGUGUUGAACAGAUUGUUGUUCUCAGAGAGGAUGGUGUUGAGGUGGAUAUGACACAUUUAACAGGACAGGUCAUGACAGCCCUCAGUGGCACUGUUUUGAACUUCAGCAAUAAGGAAGAAAAUGACCCCGACAAGAGGGAACUGCUUUGUGUUGUUGCUGACCAUAUGAAGAUGCUUGAAGCUUGUAAAAGUCCUGAGGAGAUGCUAAAACAAGGAGAGAGCAACCUCAAUAUCAAAGGUGCCAAAUCUAGUCUUCGUCUGUCAACACAAAGUAUGGAUAGACUACUCACUGAGGAGUUUCAGACCAAGGCCACUGAAUCGAUCCGGGAGAUUGUUAAAAGAUUCAGGGGUUGUACAUCAUGUUGUUCUGGCACUAUAUCAUCUAGUCCAACUCCUAGGAUAGGUGAGAUCAGAGACCUUAUGAUUGACCCUGAGGCCUCUGAGUUGGUAAGUACCUUUGUUUCAGACAUGGACAAUCUUACCCAGUCUAUCAGGGCAUCCUGCUCCCCUGCACAGGGUGAGCAGAUCAUUCUUGAAAACCAUCAGAGUAAGAUCUGGUCUUACACUGUUGGCUGUUACUACGACAUGAAAAAUACGCUGAAGAGGAUUCUUACCUGUCCAGAAAAAGGGUAUCUCGCAAGUACAUUUGUGGAGAGCACAAAAGAUUAUUUCACAAUGGUUCCAACUUUGUGCCUAGACAUCGGUCAUUCCAGUAAUGGUGAGGCUGACACAUCGGACUCCAUUUCUUGUAAACCACUUUUAAUAACC
ensembl:lncRNA